AUUGAACGCUGGCGGCAGGCCUAACACAUGCAAGUCGAACGGUAACAGGAAGAAGCUUGCUUCUUUGCUGACGAGUGGCGGACGGGUGAGUAAUGUCUGGGAAACUGCCUGAUGGAGGGGGAUAACUACUGGAAACGGUAGCUAAUACCGCAUAACGUCGCAAGACCAAAGAGGGGGACCUUCGGGCCUCUUGCCAUCGGAUGUGCCCAGAUGGGAUUAGCUAGUAGGUGUGGUAACGGCUCACCUAGGCGACGAUCCCUAGCUGGUCUGAGAGGAUGACCAGCCACACUGGAAGUGAGACACGGUACAGACUACGACGGGAGGCAGCAGUGGGGAAUAUUGCACAAUGGGCGAAAGCAUGAUGAAGCAAUGCCGCGUGUAUGAAGAAGGACUUCGGGUUGUAAAGUACUUUCAGCGGGGAGGAAGGGAGUAAAGUUAAUAACUUUGCUCAUUGACGUUACCAGCAGAAGAAGCACCGGCUAACUCCGUG
rnacentral:rRNA from 1 species